rnacentral:rRNA from 1 species
AGCAGUCGCCGCGGGAAUACAGAGGGUGCGAGCGUUAAUCGGAUUUACUGGGCGUAAAGCGUGCGUAGGCGGCUAAUUGAGUCGGAUGUGAAAUCCCCGAGCUUAACUUGGGAAUUGCAUUCGAUACUGGUUAGCUAGAGUGUGGGAGAGGAUGGUAGAAUUCCAGGUGUAGCGGUGAAAUGCGUAGAGAUCUGGAGGAAUACCGAUGGCGAAGGCAGCCAUCUGGCCUAACACUGACGCUGAGGUACGAAAGCAUGGGGAGCAAACAGGAUUAGAUACCCGGGUAGUCCCUGUCUCUUAUAC